rnacentral:rRNA from 1 species
CAGUAGCCGCGGUAAUACAGAGGGUGCGAGCGUUAAUCGGAUUUACUGGGCGUAAAGCGUGCGUAGGCGGCUUUUUAAGUCGGAUGUGAAAUCCCUGAGCUUAACUUAGGAAUUGCAUUCGAUACUGGGAAGCUAGAGUAUGGGAGAGGAUGGUAGAAUUCCAGGUGUACCGGUGAAAUGCGUAGAGAUCUGGAGGAAUACCGAUGGCGAAGGCAGCCAUCUGGCCUAAUACUGACGCUGAGGUACGAAAGCAUGGGGAGCAAACAGGAUUAGAUACCCCCGUAGUCCCUGUCUCUUAUAC